UGUUGCAGAGGAAAAAAAACUCAAACUUCAUUUACAAUACCGUGGGCACGCUCUGGUCGAGACUGCCACUUGGUCCUGAGAUGGAUUAAAGAAGAGUAGGGAACCUCUCGCUCGUUUUUAGAAUUCGACAUCAAGAACUAUUUUCACUGGUUUUCUUUUUUCCUGGCUUCCGGGAUUGCAAAGUCUUAGUCUUAGUUUGAUGCUCCGGCUUCUUCCUUACGUCCUAUGUCACCGGAAGUCAGAAUAGAAGAUACCAUGCUUUCCCACUGAGACUAGUAUUUCCCACUAAGACUAGUAGAUUCUUGUCUUUAACACUAGAUCCUAUCUUCAUACACUGUGCCUUUUUAAUACCUAUAUAAACUGCCGCUUUCAGAUUAUGAUAUGGAAGUCGAUCCUGACGAGUGCUCGGAUCUAUCGGAUCUAUUAUAACAUACCCAUGAAGCCGCUCAACGGAUUUUUUGGACUUUGAAUUAAUGCAAAAAUAAUUUUUUGUGCAAUCUAGUAUAUUCCUAUCUUAUUUGGAGACUACUUUAUGCAAUUAUCCAAUUGGUAGGACCAAGAGAAAGGAGUGGCUCCUUCAUGCCCAUGUCUAAUGUCGCUCAAGCGCAGUAGUGACAUCUUGGAUCGGUUGUGAAAGAAGGAGCUGCAUUUGAUUCCGAUCCUGCAUUACUGUCUUGCUAGCCAUUUCGCAUAGCAAGUCUGGUGGGCAUCAAGUCUUUCACAAUCCCUAUUUCCGGAGGUUCUUUGAGAAGUUCAUCUUUUGCAGCUGAUAAAGAAAGGCAACUGGAAUUUAAAAAUUCUUUUGAGAACUAGAACCUACAGUGGCUUUUUGACGGUAGAGUUGGGGCGGCUUGCUGUAGGAGGAUUUUCUGAAACUAAAAAAAGCUGUUGAUUACUCGGAUUGGUUCUCGCGUCUCUGUGCCCCGCUCGGUUCAAGUUUUCAUCGAUUGGGUGGAUCUAUAUGCUCCGGAAGGUCAGCACAUCUAUUUUGGAUACAAUGAAUGGUGAUUCAAUAUAGAUUCUACAUCUUGAAAUCAGACUAAUUUUAAAGCAAUUUUGUGAUAAUAAAUGCACCAAUUGCAAUACAAUAUAUAUUUGUAAUUCACUAGUUACUUCAAAUGCUCUCUAAACUUUUAAAAAAAAUUGAAAGUUA